rnacentral:miRNA from 1 species
UCAAAACUCUUAGCAUCAAACGUG